UUCGCCCUUGAGCAAUAACAAGCCAUCGACAAAGAGGUUGGUAAGCUCCUGAAGGCACAUCCAUGAAGUCGACUACCUAGGAUGGAUAGCCAAUAUGGUGCUCAUCAAAAAGGCCAAUAGGUGUUGAAGAGUCUGCAUAGAUUUCACCGAUCUUAUCAAGGCAUGCCUAAAGGAUAGCUUUUCACUCUCAAGGAUUGACCAACUUGUUGAUGCCACCUCAUGCCAUUAACUUUUUAGUUUUAUGGUUGCAUUCUCAGAUAUAAUCAGAUCAAGACGUACCUCGAGGAUAAGAAGAAAACAACAUUUAUCACC
rnacentral:lncRNA from 1 species